UACGGGGGGAGCAAGCGUUGUUCGGAUUUACUGGGCGUAAAGGGCGCGUAGGCGGACACGCAAGUCGGUGGUGAAAUCCUCCGGCUCAACCGGAGAAGAGCUGUCGAUACUGCGUGUCUCGAGGGGUGUAGGGGCCUGUGGAACUUUGGGUGGAGCGGUGAAAUGCGUAGAGAUCCAAAGGAACGCCGGUGGCGAAAGCGACGGGCUGGACACCUUCUGACGCUGAGGCGCGAAAGCCAGGGGAGCAAACGGG
rnacentral:rRNA from 1 species